CUGGUUGAUCCUGCCAGUAGUCAUAUGCUUGUCUCAAAGAUUAAGCCAUGCAUGUCUAAGUACAUACUUUUGCACGGUGAAACCGCGAAUGGCUCAUUAAAUCAGUUAUGGUUCCUUAGAUAAUUCAUAUUGCAUGGAUAACUGUGGUAAUUCUAGAGCUAAUACAUGCAAAAAGCUCCGACCGUAUGGGAAGAGCGCUUUUAUUAGACCAAAACCAAUGGGGUCGCAAGAUCCCUUUGUAUGGUGACUCUGGAUAACUUUGUGCUGAUCGCAUGGCCUAGAGCCGGCGACGUAUCUUUCAAAUGUCUGCCCUAUCAACUUUCGAUGGUACGCGAUUUGCCUACCAUGGUUGUAACGGGUAACGGGGAAUCAGGGUUCGAUUCCGGAGAGGGAGCAUGAGAAAUGGCUACCACAUCUACGGAAGGCAGCAGGCGCGCAAAUUACCCACUCCUAGAACGGGGAGGUAGUGACGAAAAAUAACAAUACCGGACUCUAUGAGGCUCGGUAAUUGAAAUGAGUACAGUUUAAAACCCUUAACGAGGAUCUAUUGGAGGGCAAGUCUGGUA
rnacentral:rRNA from 1 species